ensembl:lncRNA
GACUCUUUGCAACCUCUGGUCUGUAGCCCGCUAGGCUCCUCUCACCAUGGGAUUCUCCAGGCAAGAAUACUGGGGUGGGUUGCCAUGCCCUCCUCCAGGGGAUCUUCCAGACCCAGGGAUCAAACCUGAGUCUCUUAUGUCUCCUGCAUUGGCAGGUGGAUUCUUUACCACUAGUGCCACCUGGAAACCUGGCCUCCUCCUUGGGCUUGAUUACUACAAGCCCAAGUUUUGCUACAGAAGCUCGAAGAACUCGGGAAACCCUUUGACUCCUGAGCUCACUGGUUUAUUAUGAAAGAGCAUCACACAGGAACAGCCCAGGGCAAGGAAACAGAGAACAUCAUACCCGCUCUGUGAGUCUUACGGAAAUUCUAGAGCCUCCAACAGGUUCAUGGCGGUGAAAUUAGUUAAAUGGUUUCAAAGAAAGAACAAGUCCUGCUACUUUAUGGAGGAGCUGCUGAAGAACUUUGGCCACUGUGCUCUCAAGCAGAAUGACUUCUCCAGAGACUCACUGAGAGGACCUGCCAGCAGGUGCAUGAACCCUUGUUGAGGGCACUGGCUUUACCAUGAGAGGACUUGACUCAAGACCAGUUCUGCCACAUUCCAGGCGAGUGACUUGGGCCUCACAUUUCCUCAUCUGUAGAAUGGGAAUAACAACAACACCUCCUAAAAAGGUUUGUUGUGAGGAUCAAAUCAGGUGUGUGAAAAUGUUAAAAAAAAAGAAAAAGAAAAAAGAGACAGUUGCCCGAAUUAUUAGUGCUGUGUAACUAAUGAUUUUAUGAAUUACAAUGGAGCAUGGGUUAGGGUUAAAAGAACACAGAAGGGCUUCCCUGGUGGUUCAGUGGUAAAGAAUCUGCCUGCCAAUGCAGGCGACACGGGUUCCAUCCCUGACUUGGGAAGAUCCCAUGUGCCUGGGGGCAACUCAACCCCUGCACCACAACUAUUGAGCCUGUGCUUUAGAGCUCAGGAGAUGCAGCUACUGAGCCCAUAUGUCCUAGAGCCCCCUGCUCUGCAACAAGAGGAGCCAUUGAAAUGGAAGCCCUGUGCACCGCAACUAGAGAAAAGCCCGUGCAGGAAUAAAGACCCAGCACAACCAAAAAUAAAUAAAC